rnacentral:rRNA from 1 species
GAUGAACGCUGGCGGCGUGCUUAACACAUGCAAGUCGAACGGAGAACGAGGGAGCUUGCUCCCUCCGGAUCAGUGGCGAACGGGUGAGUAACACGUAAGCAAUCUGCCCUGGACCCUGGGAUAAGCGUUGGAAACGACGUCUACUACCGGAUACGAGACGCGAAGGCAUCUUUGGCGUCUGGAAAGAAUUUCGGUCCAGGAUGAGCUCGCGGCCUAUCAGGUAGUUGGUGAGGUAAUGGCUCACCAAGCCUACGACGGGUAGCCGGCUUGAGAGGGUGACAGGCCACACUGGGACUGAGACACGGCCAAGACUCCUACGGGAGGCAGCAGUGGGGAAUAUUGCACAAUGGGCGCAAGCCUGAUGCAGCGACGCCGCGUGAGGGAUGACGGCCUUCGUGUUGUAAACCUCUAUCAGCAGGGACGAAGCGCAAGUGACGGUACCUGUAGAAGAAGGACCGGCCAACUACGUGCCAGCCGCCGCUGUAACAC